rnacentral:rRNA from 1 species
AUGAGGCUGCGGCCGGGCCUCAACUACAACUUCACCGUCUUGGAGCUGGAUGCAAUGCUCCUGGAGUUGUUCAAACGCGACCCCCAGCACCCAUUCACGCUGCCGAGGGGCGUCGUUCCAUUGUGCAACAAUUCUUCGCUUGACCGGAUCCGCGCCAUGAUGUCGUUGUGCGAUUCACACGGAAUCGUUCCAACUUGGCAAGAGCCUGCGGAUGACGUCAUGCAAGCGUUCUUCGACAACUUGGAAGAAGUGCCGGUCCACGCUGACGAGCAGAAGAGCCUCACCCGUGACACCACCGACGAGGAGUUGCAGUGCAUCGCCACUAGGGCGGAAGAGGUUGUGGCCACAGCUGCCGCGGGCGCGUUCGGGUUCACUGUGGAGGAGGCGGAGGCUGCAGAGGCGGCAAACCUCGCCGAGCGCGCGGAGUUCAUUGGCGAGGAAGAGCCUGCCGGUUCUGAGGCUGAGCCGAGCGAGGCCGGCGAGGAAGAGCCCGAGCCUUCAGAAAGCUUGCCGCAGGCGGAACCCCCGGCCCCGCCAAGAAGGCGUCUUCGCAGGGCCGCGGACGUAGCGGGGCGGCAGCCGGGUCAACAGCCGCCAAGCCGUGCGACACGCUCUAUCGCGGCAAGCAAUGUUGCCGCGGGAGCGCCCCACGCAGCAACGGCAACUGGAGCGCCCGCCAAGCGGGCAAGGGAUCCUACUCCUCCGCCUCGCUGCACCGGAAGGGAGCCGGACUUCGAUCUUUCCGCGCUCAGCUCCGAUGAGGAGGAAGAAGAGUAA